AGCGAACGCUGGCGGCAGGCUUAACACAUGCAAGUCGAGCGGGCGUAGCAAUACGUCAGCGGCAGACGGGUGAGUAACACGUGGGAACGUACCUUUUGGUUCGGAACAACUGAGGGAAACUUCAGCUAAUACCGGAUAAGCCCUUACGGGGAAAGAUUUAUCGCCGAAAGAUCGGCCCGCGUCGGAUUAGCUAGUUGGUAGGGUAAUGGCCUACCAAGGCGACGAUCAGUAGCUGGUCUGAGAGGAUGAUCAGCCACACUGGGACUGAGACACGGCCCAGACUCCUACGGGAGGCAGCAGUGGGGAAUAUUGGACAAUGGGCGCAAGCCUGAUCCAGCCAUGCCGCGUGAGUGAUGAAGGCCCUAGGGUUGUAAAGCUCUUUUAACGGGGAAGAUAAUGACGGUACCCGUAGAAUAAGCCCCGGCUAACUUCGUGCCAGCCGCCGCUGUAA
rnacentral:rRNA from 1 species